GAUCUUUUCACUUCAUAGACCAGAUAUUUUGCCUGUUAGUGACUUGGGGGUCAGGAAAGGUGUGCAAUUGCUGUAUGGACUGGAGGAACUGCCAAGGCCGUCGCAGAUGGAGCAAUUAUGUGACAAAUGGAAGCCAUAUAGAUCUGCAGGGGCAUGGUAUAUGUGGCGGUUAGUGGAAGGGAAAGGGACUCCAACUAUUGCAGCAGCACCAAUUGAUGGUGGUAAUGCGCAGGCAUUGCAGCAAUUUCCGGUGGAACAGGAGACACAGCAACAUCAACUGCAGCUUCUCGAGCCAAUUAAUGGCAUCGAAAAUCUUGGGGCUUGCAUUUGGAGCCAAUGAUUACAGUGUUGAGAUAUUCCGGAGGGGUUCCCUGUGCACCAAUAUUCUCUAGCAUGUGUUAGUAGUGAGCUUAUUUUGCAGAGAUCAUGACGUUGUAAUAGCAAGCAAUUGUGCUUCUUGGGUUAUAUGGCAAGAACCCCAUUUGUUUGAUUGAUGUCAAGAACUGCACUUUUUAGUCCCCGUCGCCCCUCAAUAUUCAUUGAUGCCCCCUUUAAAUGUAAAAAGUUGUGGAAUUAG
rnacentral:misc_RNA from 1 species